AUUUAAAUAGUUUAAUAAUAAAACAUAAUAUUGAAGAUAUUAAAAUGAUAAAUUAUCUUUAAAUA
rnacentral:tRNA from 1 species